rnacentral:rRNA from 1 species
UACGGAGGGUGCAAGCGUUAUCCGGAUUCACUGGGUUUAAAGGGAGCGUAGGUGGGAUGGUAAGUCAGUGGUGAAAUCUCCGGGCUUAACUUGGAAACUGCCAUUGAUACUAUCAGUCUUGAAUAUUGUGGAGGUCAGCGGAAUAUGUCAUGUAGCGGUGAAAUGCUUAGAUAUGACAUAGAACACCAAUUGCGAAGGCAGCUGGCUACACAUAUAUUGACACUGAGGCACGAAAGCGUGGGGAUCAAACAGG